UUCAAUUUUAAUCUCAAAUUCAACCCACAAUUUCUCAUUUAAAAAAAACAACAAAUGAUAUAAUUUUCAAAUUGGGAUUUCUUUAUUAUAAAUUAGUAGAUAAACCAUAGAUAUAGUCCUCUCCUGCACGUUCUCAAAGAAUCCUUCAGAAUUCGACACACAAAAAUACCUUACUUUUCAAAAUACAAGUAAGACGAUAACGUGCUUAAAUAUUGAAAUCCCCUGUAGUGAAUUUUUUUCAAAGAUUGUUAUGGACCGAUCACAUUCUAACUAUCGACGUAACAGUUGAUGGACCUUAAUCAAAUAAAGAUAUACAUAUACAAUUGGCUUCAUUUAUACAAUAGCUUCAUAUCUAUGAAAUUAAUAAAAGUCAGCACUAUUUUCUUCAGCGCACGUAGAAUGCAUAAAAGAAUGAAAGAAGGUUUCACGUCAUCAAUUACGAAAAAAAAAAUAGGCCUACGGACGGCUGACAAGUUCAAAUGUUGCGUUGUUGCCACUGGGUGACCCAUUAAUCCAGGAAUAAUAUUCCUCACAUUGCGGGAUAAUUGAUGAACCUGUCCAGCUGUGGGGUAUCAAAUGACCAGCAUAUAUUCCUUGUCUUUUGAAAAUGAUGGCGUCCGUUUCUAUAUAUACUCUUUAAAAGAGGGACCCCGGGUCUCCAUUCAUUGUUUUGCUGAUUUCAAGUCAUCUGAGGACAAAUUCCAGUGUUGGAAAUGGAAAAAAAACAGUUUGUAUAUACAUGUAUUUAGGCAAAAAAAACCUCACAUCACAGGGGGUCAACAGUCAACGCCAAGGGUAAAAGUGUCAGAGUUUAUUGGAAAAUAUCCUGCCGCGAAGACAUACAAUGAGGGUGUACACGUAUUUGUGAAAUGACGUGAAUGUUGACUGCGUGAUAUCAUAUAUACCAGCAUGUUAUGCGCGGAUCCUUUUUUUCUCAAAAUGUUAUUUGUAAAUUAGAAGUAGGCCUUGGCCUAUAAUAAUAUUGAAUUUGAAGCGUAAUCAGUUUUAACAGAUUUGAAUAAUGUACAUGUAAGUGAACGCUUCAUUCAAUGUAAAGUACGAUCAAAGGACAACUACGGGAAUAAAUUAUUAAUGAAUUAUACACAUUAAAAUAAUAACUUACGCAGCAUUCAAACUUGUCAGCCGUCCGUAGGCUUAAUUUUUUCGUAAUUGAUGACGUGAAACCUUCUUCCAUUCUUUUAUUGCAUUCUACGUACGCCUAAGAAAAUAGUGCUGACAUUUAUUUAAUUAAUUUCAUAGAUGACGAUAUUUAUAAACAAAACCAACUGUAUAUGAUGUAUAUCGAUUUACUACUUGGACUUUUUUUUCUUAACGUGCAACAUCUUAAUUCAUAUCCCCUCAUACCAGUAAGUCAUUAUGUGCACGUGCCGUUAAAUAGGCGUUAAUUAAUGAAUUGUGUUUUGAUUCGUAUAUUCUUUACUCUAGGUAUCGAAUCUUCCUUACAAUGUAUAAAACGCGCAGGUUUUAGAUGGAUACAAUGUAUGUAUGCAUUGGAUUUUCAGAUGGAAAAAAAUCUUGCAAUGAUCGCCCCCUUCAUAACCCACAUGAAUCAUCAAAGAAAGCUUUUAUUGCUUAUAUAAAUUACAUCUUUCUUUUAAGAAAUUAAUACAUUGAUCGUAAGUGUAGAGUAAGUAAAACUUACUAAAUCAUUGUUCAUUUACAUCAGUACGUUAGAUGGAAGAAAUAGUCAAGUCGUCUUAUAUGGGACUUCGAUUCUGGCAUCUUGUGGCAGCAAUAAUGUGGCCCUCUCCCG